UACGAAGGGGGCUAGCGUUGUUCGGAUUUACUGGGCGUAAAGCGCACGUAGGCGGACUUUUAAGUCAGGGGUGAAAUCCCAGAGCUCAACUCUGGAACUGCCUUUGAUACUGGAAGUCUUGAGUAUGGUAGAGGUGAGUGGAAUUCCGAGUGUAGAGGUGAAAUUCGUAGAUAUUCGGAGGAACACCAGUGGCGAAGGCGGCUCACUGGACCAUUACUGACGCUGGAGGUGCGAAAGCGUGGGGAGCAAACAGGA
rnacentral:rRNA from 1 species